rnacentral:rRNA from 1 species
UACGUAGGGUGCGAGCGUUGUCCGGAAUUAUUGGGCGUAAAGGGCUCGUAGGCGGUUUGUCGCGUCGGGAGUGAAAACACUGGGCUUAACUCAGUGCUUGCUUCCGAUACGGGCAGACUAGAGGUAUGCAGGGGAGAACGGAAUUCCUGGUGUAGCGGUGAAAUGCGCAGAUAUCAGGAAGAACACCCGUGGCGAAGGCGGCUCUCUGGGACGUGACUGACGCUGAGACGCGAAAGCGUGGGGAGCGAACAGG